rnacentral:rRNA from 1 species
UAAAGCACAAAGAAGGGCGUUUGGCGGAUGCCUUGGCGUCAAGAGGCGAUGAAGGACGUGGCACGCUGCGAAAAGCCAUGGGGAGCCGCGAGCAGGCUUUGAUCCAUGGAUAUCCGAAUGGGGAAACCCGGCUCUUAUGAGUCAUCCCUGACUGAAUACAUAGGUCAGGGAAGCAAACCCGGCGAAUUGAAACAUCUCAGUAGCCGGAGGAAAGGACAUCAACCGAGACUCUGUUAGUAGCGGCGAGCGAACGCGGACCAGGCCAGUGGCGCUUGGAUUUAAACCGGAACCGUCUGGAAAGUCGGGCCAUAGCGGGUGAUAGCCCCGUACGGGUAAAAAAUCCUUGCGUCCUCGAGUAGGGCGGAACACGUGAAAUUCUGUCUGAACAUGGGGGGACCACCCUCCAAGCCUAAGUACUCCUUGACGACCGAUAGCGCACAAGUACCGUGAGGGAAAGGUGAAAAGUACCCCUAGCGGGGAGUGAAACAGACCUGAAACCGAACGCCUACAAGCAGUGGGAGCCCGUAAGGGUGACCGCGUACCUUUUGUAUAAUGGGCCAGCGAGUUAGUCUCUCGAGCAAGCUUAAGCCGUUAGGCGUAGGCGGAGCGAAAGCGAGUCUGAAUAGGGCGACAGAGUUCGAGGGAUUAGACCCGAAGCCGAGCGAUCUAGCCAUGGGCAGGUUGAAGGUGCAGUGACAUGCACUGGAGGACCGAACCCACCUCUGUUGAAAAAGGGGGGGAUGACCUGUGGUUAGGGGUGAAAGGCCAAUCAAGCUCGGCGAUAGCUGGUUCUCCGCGAAAGCUAUUUAGGUAGCGCGUCAUGUAUUGCCAUCGGGGGUAGAGCACUGGAUAGGCUAGGGGGCCGCGAGGCUUACCAAACUUAACCAAACUCCGAAUACCGAUGAGUAUGAGCAUGGCAGACAGACUACGGGUGCUAAGGUCCGUAGUCGAGAGGGAAACAGCCCUGACCUUCAGCUAAGGCCCCUAAAUCACGACUAAGUGGGAAAGGAUGUGGGACAGCCAAGACAGCCAGGAGGUUGGCUUAGAAGCAGCCAUCCUUUAAAGAAAGCGUAACAGCUCACUGGUCUAAAUAAGCCGUCCUGCGCCGAAGAUGUAUCGGGGCUAAAGUCGUGCACCGAAGCUGAGGACUUCAUCUUAGGAUGGAGUGGUAGCGGAGCGUUCCGUAAGCCUGCGAAGGGAUACCUGUGAGGGGUCCUGGAGGUAUCGGAAGUGAGAAUGCUGACAUGAGUAGCGACAAAGAGGGUGAGAAACCCUCUCGCCGAAAGUCCAAGGGUUCCUGCGCAAGGCUAAUCCGCGCAGGGUGAGCCGGUCCCUAAGGCGAGGCCGAAAGGCGUAGUCGAUGGGAACUAGGUUAAUAUUCCUAGGCCUGGUGGAUGUGACGAAUGACGUAAGCGGUACCGACUUAACGGAUUGUUGGUGCCGUGAUGUUGUUCCAGGAAAUAACACCACCGUAUAGACCGUACCCUAAACCGACACAGGUGGACAGGUAGAGUAUACCAAGGCGCUUGAGAGAACGAUGUUGAAGGAACUCGGCAAAAUACCUGCGUAACUUCGGGAGAAGCAGGCCCCGUUCUUGGGCAACCAGGAGCGGGGGGCACAGACCAGGGGGUAGCGACUGUUUACUAAAAACACAGGGCUCUGCGAAGUGGAGAACACGACGUAUAGGGUCUGACGCCUGCCCGGUGCCGGAAGGUUAAGAGGAGAGGUGAGAGCCUUGAAUCGAAGCCCCGGUAAACGGCGGCCGUAACUAUAACGGUCCUAAGGUAGCGAAAUUCCUUGUCGGGUAAGUUCCGACCUGCACGAAUGGCGUAACGACUUCCCCACUGUCUCCAACAUCGACUCAGCGAAAUUGAAUUCUCCGUGAAGAUGCGGAGUACCCGCGGUUAGACGGAAAGACCCCGUGCACCUUUACUACAACUUCAGAGUGGUACUAGAGAAUGACUAUGUAGGAUAGGCGGGAGACUUCGAAGCAGAGCCGCCAGGUUUUGUGGAGUCACCCUUGAAAUACCGCCUUUUUGUCCUUUGGUAUCUAACCGCGAUCCCUGAACCGGGAUCCGGGACCCUCUGUGGUGGGUAGUUUGACUGGGGCGGUCGCCUCCUAAAGAGUAACGGAGGCGCGCGAAGGUGGGCUCAAGCUGGUCGGAAAUCAGCUGUUGAGUGCAAUGGCAUAAGCCCGCCUGACUGCGAGAGCGACAGUUCGAGCAGAGACGAAAGUCGGUCAUAGUGAUCCGGUGGUCCCGAAUGGAAGGGCCAUCGCUCAACGGAUAAAAGGUACGCCGGGGAUAACAGGCUGAUGGUUCCCAAGAGUCCACAUCGACGGAACCGUUUGGCACCUCGAUGUCGGCUCAUCACAUCCUGGGGCUGGAGCAGGUCCCAAGGGUUCGGCUGUUCGCCGAUUAAAGUGGUACGUGAGCUGGGUUUAGAACGUCGUGAGACAGUUCGGUCCCUAUCUGCCGUGGGUGUUGGAUACUUGAGAGGAGCUGCCCCUAGUACGAGAGGACCGGGGUGGACAUAUCUCUGGUGGACCUGUUGUUACGCCAGUAGCAUUGCAGGGUAGCUAAAUAUGGAAGGGAUAACCGCUGAAGGCAUCUAAGCGGGAAGCCCCCCUCAAAACCAGGUAUCCCUUGAGAGCCGUGGUAGACCACCACGUUGAUAGGCUGGAUGUGGAAGCAUGGCAACAUGCGUAGCUGACCAGUACUAAUAGCUCGAUAGGCUUCAGAAC